rnacentral:misc_RNA from 1 species
AACGGUCUAUACCUGCGGUACCUGCGGAGGGAUCAUUACAGGACUCGCAAGACUCCUACAACCCUGUGAACUUAACUAUAAGCACGUUGCUUCGGCGGGUGUCUCGGCGAGGGUUCUCCCUCCCCGGGGCGCUAAGCCCGCCGGCAGCCUACUAUACUCUGUCUCUUUGCGUUGGCAUCUCGAGUACAAACAAACAAGUUAAAACUUUUAACAAUGGAUCUCUAGAUCGGAAGAGCACAC